UUUUUAAAGGCAUAAAUCUCAAAAAGGUA
rnacentral:piRNA from 1 species